ACGUACACUCCUGCGGGAGGCAGCAGUGGGGAAUAUUGCACAAUGGGCACAAGCCUGAUGCAGCGACGCCGCGUGGGGGAUGAAGGCCUUCGGGUUGUAAACUCCUUUCGCUAGGGACGAAGCUUUUUUGUGACGAUACCUAGAUAAGAAGCACCGGCUAACUACGUGCCAGCAGCCGCGGUAAUACGUAGGGUGCGAGCGUUGUCCGGAAUUACUGGGCGUAAAGGGCUCGUAGGUGGUUUGUCGCGUCGUCUGUGAAAUUCUGGGGCUUAACUCCGGGCGUGCAGGCGAUACGGGCAUAACUUGAGUGCUGUAGGGGUAACUGGAAUGCCUGGUGUAGCGGUGAAAUGCGCAGAUAUCAGGAGGAACACCGAUGGCGAAGGCAGGUUACUGGGCAGUUACUGACGCUGAGGAGCGAAAGCAUGGGUAGCGAACAGGAUUAGAUACCCGUGUAGUCCCAUG
rnacentral:rRNA from 1 species